CCUUGGUUCUCCAAGGAUAUCAGUGAAAGUCAUAGACUGGGAGUGGAGAAGCUCCACUGCCACCACCUUCAUCUUUUUCUUCUUUAUCCAAAGAUUCCUGAACACAGAUGCCUGGUACUGAUGCAACAUCUGGAUACAGAGGGGAAUAAUUGCGGCUUGCCGGCAGCCAAUAGCAUGCUUGCAUUCCACCUGCUUCAAGAUGGCUGGCUCCCAGCUGCUUAGGAAAGAGGAGGAAGGGGAUCAGAGCAGCCUUGUAAAACCAGCCAACCGGGUACAGACA
rnacentral:lncRNA from 1 species